UAGGCAUUAGCUACAAGUAAUAAGAAAAAUUAUAAAAGAGGAAAUUUUAAGUAUUCUGAUUCUUAUAAUAUUUAGAAUAUAUCAAGAAGAAAACUAAAAUAUUAUAGCGCUCAAACAAACCUAAAUAACAAAUAGUUUAAAAAAAUACAAAAUAAAAUAAUUAAAAGAAAUUUCUUCGGCAGAAAAUUUAUUCUAAAUUGGGAUGUUCUUGUUCUGCAUCACACUUCUGACAACUAAUACAAAAAUAUUGCAAUAAUAAAAAGGAAAUCAAAAGUUUUAAUUCCUAGCAAAAUUUAGCUUACUUAAAUAAGCUAAAUAAACUAAAGAUACUAAAUAACAAUAAUAAUAAUUGCAUAGAUAUUUCCUAAUCUUAAAACUAUUCCAAUAUAACAUCAUAUUUAUGCACCACUUGUUCUCC
rnacentral:lncRNA from 1 species